CCUACGGGAGGCUGCAGUGAGGAAUAUUGGUCAAUGGACGAGAGUCUGAACCAGCCAAGUAGCGUGAAGGAUGACUGCCCUAUGGGUUGUAAACUUCUUUUAUGUGGGAAUAAAAUGUUCCACGUGUGGGAUUUUGUAUGUACCAUAUGAGUAAGAAACGGCUAACUCCGUGCCAGCAGCCGCGGUAAUACGGAGGAUCCGAGCGUUAUCCGGAUUUACUGGGUUUAAGGGGAGCGUAGGUGGAUUGUUAAGUCAGUUGUGAAAGCUUGCGGCUCAACCGUAAAAUUGCAGUUGAUACUGGCAGGCUUGAGUACAGUAGAGGUGGGCGGAAUUCGAGGUGUAGCGGUGAAAUGCUUAGAUAUCACGAAGAAUACCGAUUGCGAAGGCAGCUCACUGGACUGCAACUGACACUGAGGCGCGAAAGUGUGGGUAGCAAACAGGAUUAGAUACCCGUGUAGUC
rnacentral:rRNA from 1 species